rnacentral:rRNA from 1 species
CUUAGUGGCGGACGGGUGAGUAACGCGUGGGUAACCUGCCUUAUACAGGGGGAUAACAGUCAGAAAUGGCUGCUAAUACCGCAUAAGCGCACAGAGCUGCAUGGCUCGGUGUGAAAAACUCCGGUGGUAUAAGAUGGACCCGCGUUGGAUUAGCUUGUUGGUGGGGUAACGGCCCACCAAGGCGACGAUCCAUAGCCGGCCUGAGAGGGUGAACGGCCACAUUGGGACCGAGACACGGCCCAGACUCCUACGGGAGGCAGCAUG